rnacentral:lncRNA from 10 species
UUCUCCCCAGGAAGAUGUGCCCUGAGGCAUCCCCCGAGGAUGGCGCAGGUCCUGAGGGUCGUGGGGAUCAAAGAAUAUGAGCCAAGACGUAUAAAUCACAUGUUGGAGUUUGCCUUCCCCUAUGUGACCACAGUUCUGGAUGAUGCAAAAAUUUACUCAAGCCAUGCUAAGAAAGCUACUGGUGUGCAAUUGCAAUCCAGUGUGCGCCGACCAGUUUUUUUUUACCUCUCCGCCCCAAGAGAUUUUUAUUAGAUAUUGCAAGGCAAAGAAAUCAAACCCCUUCGCCUUUGAUCAAGCCGUAUUCAAGUCCUAGAAUGCCACCCAAUAGAUAUUGCUUAACAGCUCCAAAAGGCUUAAGUCUUUACAGAAAAAGGCAUCUACGUCUGAGGGAAGAAUAACAGUCCACCCUGCAUUAUUUCUGUCUCACCCAGAUUAAAUGUUGGUUCAGUUACUAGCCGACCAGGUGUUCACACACUAGGCACACCACCCCCCAAACCAUGUUUGUGGCAACUAAAGUAAGGACUCAAAUGUCCCUCACAAGGCAAAGGUUUACAGUGUAGAUGUCUGCUUCACAUUGCCCUGUGAAGCGUGAAUUCCUGUAACAUCAGCAAUUCAGAAUGUUCUGGUUAAUCCAUCACGAAUGGUCCAGAGGCAUUCUUAUUACACUAAUAUGGUGUCAUCACAAACUACUGCCAAUGGAAAAAAAAACAUGAAGAA